rnacentral:lncRNA from 1 species
GGGAAGAAAGAGAAAGAUAGGUUUUCUUGUUAGUUUCUUUAAUUAUAUUGCUUAGGAUGUUCCUUUUUGUGUCAAUUUGAUUUAAUUAUGCAAUAUGCAUUUUUCAUGUAUGAGCUUGUCAAUUUGAUUUAGUUGUUAGGUGUUCUUUUUUGAAUUAUGUUACUUAGGGUGUUGUCUUUAUUUUUUAUGUUAGCUCUAGGACUAGAAAUUAGAUAGAUAUACAAGCGGGUCGGCCCACACUCUUUCUUAUUUUUUAUUUUUAUUAGUAUUAGGUUUUAUAAAAAUAUAUUAAUAUACUCCCUCCAUAUCCAUAAACAAGUCA